rnacentral:misc_RNA from 1 species
GAAAUGCGAUAAGUAAUGUGAAUUGCAGAAUUCAGUGAAUCAUCGAAUCUUUGAACGCACAUUGCGCCCGCCAGCACUCUGGCGGGCAUGCCUGUUCGAGCGUCAUUUCAACCCUCAGAACCCCUUGCGGGAUCUGGCGUUGGGGAUUGGCAUCCAGCCAGCCCCGAAAUCUAGUGGCGGUCCCUCCGCGACCUCCCCUGUGCAGUAGCGAUACCUCGCAGCGGGACAGCGGUCUGACCACGCCGUAAAACCCCCAACUUCUCAAGGUUGACCUCGAAUCAGGUAGGAAUACCCGCCGAACUUAAGC